GGCCAACUCACUGCCGGACAAAGCAUUCUUUGUGAGAUUUAGUCUGCUCAGACCUCUCAAAUUACCUAGUGAUGGGGGAAUACUCCCUGUGAAGGAAUUAUCAUCCAAAGUUAGGUACACUAAGCUUGCACAAUCCCCUAGUUUACCUGGUAUUUCUCCUGAUAAGUUGUUUUUUGACAGAUCCAAACUUGCAAUAUUUAUCAGCCUUCCAACUUGUGGAGAAAGAACACCCGACAAAUUGUUAUUGGACAAAGAUAAAAAAAUCUGUCCACAAAGGAAGGCUAAAGAUCUCAUCAGGGACAACCCCAGUAAGUAGAUUAGAGGAUAAGUCCAGGCUAGGUAACUGCUGCAAGUUUCCAAGGCUUUUAGGAAUGGGGCCGUCGAUUCUAUUGUUCGACAAGGAGAAAUUCUGG
rnacentral:lncRNA from 1 species